rnacentral:lncRNA from 1 species
AAGGUUUCUGGAUUGCAUUGGCAAACUACUCAAUAGAAAUUUAUAAAGGAUACUUUAAGAGCAGGAAAUCCCUUGUCAGGCAGAAAGCACUAUAGGCAGACAAUUCUCAUGUCCAAUGACUCCCACAUUAAAAAAAAAUGUUUCAUAUGAUUGAAAUCAUUUCAUUACCCAGCUCAUUCCUCUUAUCUGGAGGUAAUUUUUAACAGACUCCAGCCUCUUUUCCAGGAACAUUUUCAAAGAAUACAAAUGUGCUAGGCCCAAGGCUUAAAUGGUCCUUUUCAC